ACGAACGCUGGCGGCGUGCUUAACACAUGCAAGUCGAACGAUGAUGCCCUGCUUGCAGGGUGGAUUAGUGGCGAACGGGUGAGUAACACGUGGGUGAUCUGCCCCGCACUUCGGGAUAAGCCUGGGAAACUGGGUCUAAUACCGGAUACGACCCCCUGGUAGGCAGGGGGUGGAAAGAUUUAUCGGUGUGGGAUGAGCCUGCGGCCUAUCAGCUUGUUGGUGGGGUAAUGGCCUACCAAGGCGUCGACGGGUAGCCGGCCUGAGAGGGUGAUCGGCCACAUUGGGACUGAGACACGGCCCAGACUCCUACGGGAGGCAGCAGUGGGGAAUAUUGCACAAUGGGCGCAAGCCUGAUGCAGCGACGCCGCGUGGGGGAUGACGGCCUUCGGGUUGUAAACUCCUUUCGACAGGGACGAAGCUUUUUGUGACGGUACCUGUAGAAGAAGCACCGGCUAACUACGUGCCAGCAGCCGCGGUAAUACGUAGGGUGCGAGCGUUGUCCGGAAUUACUGGGCGUAAAGAGCUCGUAGGUGGUUUGUCGCGUCGUCUGUGAAAUCCCGGGGCUUAACCUCGGGCGUGCAGGCGAUACGGGCAUAACUUGAGUGCUGUAGGGGAGACUGGAAUUCCUGGUGUAGCGGUGAAAUGCGCAGAUAUCAGGAGGAACACCAAUGGCGAAGGCAGGUCUCUGGGCAGUAACUGACGCUGAGGAGCGAAAGCAUGGGUAGCGAACAGGAUUAGAUACCCUGGUAGUCCAUGCCCUAAACGAUGUCUACUAGUUGUUGGUGGAGUGAAA
rnacentral:rRNA from 1 species